GCUAAGCUAUCCCUCAAAGUCUGUCCUGUCCUACUUGUUACCUCCACUCUUUCUGCUUUAAAAACCCUAGCCAGCUUAGCUACUGCAGACUCCACAAGAAACCAGCUUAUCCUUUAAUUCACAAGCAGGGCAGGGUGGGGGCCUGUGUGAACCAAAACUGAUUUUUUUCCCAUUAAAUUGAAAUGCCAUAAAAAUUUUUUGUUUAAAUUGAGGACAAUUUUAUCUAAAUGAAUUGAGGACAUUCUUAUCUAUUUUAGUCCACAAUUCUCCCUUCUCUACGAUAUUAUAUACUGAAU
rnacentral:lncRNA from 1 species